ACUCCUACGGGAGGCAGCAGUGGGGAAUAUUGCACAAUGGGGGAAACCCUGAUGCAGCCAUGCCGCGUGUGUGAAGAAGGCCUUCGGGUUGUAAAGCACUUUCAGUAGGGAGGAAGGUAGUGUAGUUAACACCUGCACUAUUUGACGUUACCUACAGAAGAAGCACCGGCUAACUCCGUGCCAGCAGCCGCGGUAAUACGGAGGGUGCGAGCGUUAAUCGGAAUUACUGGGCGUAAAGCGCAUGCAGGCGGCCUGUUAAGUCAGAUGUGAAAGCCCGGGGCUUAACCUCGGAAUUGCAUUUGAAACUGGCAGGCUAGAGUCUUGUAGAGGGGGGUAGAAUUUCAGGUGUAGCGGUGAAAUGCGUAGAGAUCUGAAGGAAUACCAGUGGCGAAGGCGGCCCCCUGGAC
rnacentral:rRNA from 1 species